rnacentral:rRNA from 1 species
UACGGGGGGGGCAAGCGUUGUUCGGAAUUACUGGGCGUAAAGGGCUUGUAGGCGGCCAACUAAGUCAGACGUGAAAUCCCUCGGCUUAACCGGGGAACUGCGUCUGAUACUGGAUGGCUUGAGAUUGGGAGAGGGAUGCGGAAUUCCAGGUGUAGCGGUGAAAUGCGUAGAUAUCUGGAGGAACACCCGUGGCGAAAGCGGCGCGCUGGACCACUACUGACGCUGAGGAACGAAAGCUAGGGGAGCAAACAGG